rnacentral:rRNA from 1 species
GCUACGGGGGCUGCAGUGAGGAAUAUUGGUCAAUGGGCGCGAGCCUGAACCAGCCAAGUCGCGUGAGGGAAGACGGUCCUAUGGAUUGUAAACCUCUUUUGUCGGGGAGCAAAAGACGCCACGCGUGGCGUUCCGAGAGUACCAGAAGAAAAAACAUCUGCUAACUCCGUGCCAGCAGCCGCGGUAAUGCGGGGGAUGCGAGCGUUAGCCGGAUUUAUUGGGUUUAAGUGGUGCGCAGGCGGAGGAUCAAGUCAGCGGUAAAAUUGAGAGGCUCAACCUCUUCGAGCCGUUGAAACUGGUUUUCUUGAGUGAGUGAGAAGUAUGCGGAAUGCGUGGUGUAGCUGUGAAAUGCAUAGAUAUCACGCAGAACUCCGAUUGCGAAGGCAGCAUACCGGCGCUCAACUGACGCUCAUGCACGAAAGUGUGGGUAUCGAACAGGAUUAGAUACCCUGGUAGUC